UCUCUCGUGCUCUUCUCUGAUUAUUAGGGUUCCACUACUCUGAUUUCAGAGAACUUAUGAAGCAUCAAUUCAGUAAUCUCUCCGAGAUUAAAGUUGAAUGAUUUAAUGAUUUCAUAGAUCUCAAAUACCAAAUCAAGACCUAAUCUCAAAUCUGAGAACUGACCUAGAAGCGCCGUUCUCCACCAUGAUUCGAUCUAUUAAUGGAAGUAAACUCGUUCCACCAUGAUUUGAUCUCAGUUUUUGCAUUAUAUUCUUCGAUCUAUAACCAUCUUCUUCGAUCUAUACAUAUUUUCGUUCUUCCAUCUCACUGUGACCAUUUUAUUCUUCAGUCUUUAAUGUAAAUUCUCAUUGGUUUUGUAGUUUUCGCCGUGCAGGUGGAGAUUAAUAGGUUAAGUGAAGAGCUAAUUCGGUUGAAGGAUCAGGUGUAAAUUCAGUCGGAAAGGGGUUUGGUGAUUUGAUUGUUGUUGUUGAGAUUUUGCUUGAAGAAAUGAAGAUGAAACUUGGGAUCUUUCGGUCACUUUCAGGCGUGUAGGUCUGGAGUUCCUAAAGGAGGAGUAGACAGUUGUUGGUAUAUCCUUUUUUCAGGGUAACUGGAGUUUACUUCAUUGAUGGGACGGCAAUUACAUUGUAUGCGCUUAUUUUUAAAUCCAACCAUUGUUAACAACAUGAGAUAAAUCACAAGGAAGUCUUACAAGGGUGACAUCACUAAACCUUGAAAUUGUAAGAGAUCUAGCCAGAGAUGGAAUCUCAUCUGUUAGAAUGUAUCCAUUUGUUUCUGGAUGGACUACAUGCAAAAAGAAACGUAACGAACUCCAAAUAAAGUUAUGUAUUCUCCGAUGUGUCUCUGCCAAGUGCCAUCUCUUCGUGCUUUACAAGAACUUUGGUUUCUGAUCACAGAUAUCGGUUGUGCAUACAUCUCAGGUUGCCAUGUCAAUCGACUCUGGUUUUAUCCCUGUUCAAGAGAUGGUUUGAUUGCGAAGAGUUAAGAAAAUUGUGUGUCUUUGGUUGAGAGUGUGAAGAAGAGUGGAAGAUGAUGAUAUUGAUGGGAUUAAAGUGCUAGUUUCUGAAUUAUGGAAUGAGAACCAAGAAGGUAAGCUUCACGUUGUACUGUGGUUUAGGCACUGUUUUAUAUAAUGCUCUUUUGGAUAGUUUUCCUUUCUAUAAUUUGAGUUUUUUGGUUCCUGCAAGUGGUGUCAUCACUACUUGCCUUGCAUUAUGUGAUAUGAGAGCUAAAUGUACAGUCUGUUGUUCAAAGCAAUGAUUCUUUUAAAAACUGGACUUUAGGAACUAGAUUGCUUUAUUGUUCCUUCAAUCUUGUUCUUCUGUUUGUUUGGUGUGGUUGAUUUGAUUGCCUUAAGGGCAUUUUACAUCUGCAAUAAU